rnacentral:rRNA from 1 species
CCUACGGGUGGCAGCAGUGAGGAAUAUUGGUCAAUGGACGAGAGUCUGAACCAGCCAAGUCGCGUGAAGGAUGACUGCCCUAUGGGUUGUAAACUUCUUUUAUAUGGGAAUAAAAUCUUCCACGUGUGGGAGUUUGUAUGUACCAUAUGAAUAAGGAUCGGCUAACUCCGGGCCAGCCGCCGCGGUAAUACGGAGGAUCCGAGCGUUAUCCGGAUUUAUUGGGUUUAAAGGGAGCGUAGGUGGGUUGUUAAGUCAGUUGUGAAAGUUUGCGGCUCAACCUUAAAAGUGCAGUUGAAACUGGCAGUCUUGAGUACAGUAGAGGUAGGCGGAAUGCGUGGUGUAGCGGUGAAAUGCUUAGAUAUCACGAAGAACUCCGAUUGCGAAGGCAGCUCACUGGACUGCAACUGACACUGAGGCACGAAAGUGUGGGUAUCAAACAGGAUUAGAUACCCUGGUAGUC